CCAUAUGUUGCACAGACGCUUCGUGACGUCACGUGAAGCACCAAGAAAAAACUAAUUUCCCAGUUGUUUCUCGCACAUUACGACUGACACGUAUUCCUCAUUUCUCGUGCAAAGCAUCGAUAGAGAAAGGUGAUCACAAUUAUUUGCCUGCAACUACGCCGUGUCCUACAGGAGUGUACCGUGACGCAACUCCUGGAAAGGGUCGGGCUGCGACGAUGUCUCCUUGGUUUCCCGACAUGAGCUACCUCCGCCACAAGCCGUGUCGCGGAACGUCGUUCCGGUGGUCCCUGUUCCCGUUUCUCGCAGUGGUGACCUUGCUCACGAUGAUGCUUCCUCGUGCGACCGCCAUGGAGAACGGAUGCAACCACUACUCGUGUACUGCGAUGUGCGUCGGCAAAGGGUUCGACGAUGGGAAAUGCAGCCGCGCGCAUGACUACCGAGACAUGUGCCGCUGCGGGUACAUCCUUGGAAGAGCGCCGAAGGAGCCUCCUGCCGAGGUGGAGUAGCAUAAACGUACGGACGUGAUCGAGGGAAAGAGAUGACGGGCUCACACUGAGUCGCAUCCACGUACGAGUAAAAAGAAAUAAACUUCGAACGGAUGGAAAA